rnacentral:rRNA from 1 species
GACGAACGCUGGCGGCGUGCUUAACACAUGCAAGUCGAACGGAAAGGCCCUGCUUUUGUGGGGUGCUCGAGUGGCGAACGGGUGAGUAACACGUGAGUAACCUGCCCUUGACUUUGGGAUAACUUCAGGAAACUGGGGCUAAUACCGGAUAGGAGCUCCUGCUGCAUGGUGGGGGUUGGAAAGUUUCGGCGGUUGGGGAUGGACUCGCGGCUUAUCAGCUUGUUGGUGGGGUAGUGGCUUACCAAGGCUUUGACGGGUAGCCGGCCUGAGAGGGUGACCGGCCACAUUGGGCCUGAGAUACGGCCCAGACGCCUACGGGAGGCAGCAGUGGGGAAUCUUGCACAAUGGGCGGAAGCCUGAUGCAGCAACGCCGCGUGCGGGAUGACGGCCUUCGGGUUGUAAACCGCUUUCGCCUGUGACGAAGCGUGAGUGACGGUAAUGGGUAAAGAAGCACCGGCUAACUACGUG